ACAAUUAUGCAAACUAAGGGGGAAAGAGAGGCACCUUAGAAUGAAGGCUCUCCUUACUGUCGUAAGCGCUAGAGGGAUUCUUUGCUAGAAAAGUCUCCGUGUCAGGGCUGGGGUGAAGAGAGCUGAGGGGCGCUUUGCCUUCCCUCACCGGUGCGUUUUACCUCUCGAGGCACCGUAAGUUUGAAGUCCUCCAAGUUGUGGUCGGCGCCAUCAUGACGCCGGCGACUAACACAUAUUGUUUAAUUGAGUCUACUUUACUACUUGGUUCACCUUUGCCUUAUGAGUUCCUUAGAAGGAGAAAACACUCUGUAUUUUUGAACAGAUGCUUCAUUAUGGGAGGGACAUGGAUGAAGCUGGAAACCAUCAUUCUCAGCAAACUAUCCCAAGGACAAAAAAACAAACACCGCAUGUUCUCACUCAUAGGUGGGAAUUGAACAAUGAGAACACAUGGACACAGGAAGGGGAACAUCACACAACGGGGCCUGUUGUGGGGUGCGGGGAGCGGCGAGGAAUAGCAUUAGGAGAUAUACCUAAUGUUAAAUGACGAGUUGAUGGGUGCAGCACACCAACAUGGCACAUGUAUACAUAUGUAACUAAACCUGCACAUUGUGCACAUGUACCCUAAAAUUUAAAGUAUAAUAAAAAAAAUUACUGUGCAAAAAUUUUAUAAAGAAUGUAUAAAUGUCCAUAUAUGAUUCUUGUUCCUAUAUUCUAAAAUUUAGGAUAGAUUUUACCCUACAGUUAAGAAAAGUCCUCUGAAGCCUCCCACACCAAAUUAUAAUUAAUUACACAACUUGACCUUUGUUUUUUGAGAAGGAUCCAGAUUUUAUAAUUUACUUUGUAAGCUUUGAAGCUUGAAGUGGUUACUAUCUAAUAUUUGCAUUGCUGGAGGAAGAAAGGGGAUAAGACAGAAUUUACAUUAAUGCUUCUACUAUUUUUGGGGGGGAAAACAAAGCAGAAGAAAACUGAAACAAAGUGAUUAGAGGGUUAGAAGACAAAGAAGGUAAAGGUAGUAAGUGAUAAGAAAGAAGUUUUGAAUAAGAUUUGUCAAUAUUUUUAGUUUUCAAGGUGGUCAAAAUGAUAAGGAGUUCUGAAAGGACAUUUGAUUAUUAAUGCCUU
ensembl:lncRNA LINC02796 long intergenic non-protein coding RNA 2796